UACGAAGGGUGCAAACGUUGCUCGGAAUCAUUGGGCGUAAAGCGCACGUAGGCGGCCUUGCAAGUCGGAUGUGAAAUCCCUCGGCUCAACCGAGGACGUGCAUCCGAAACUGCUCGGCUCGAGUAUGGAAGAGGGUCGCGGAAUUCCCGGUGUAGAGGUGAAAUUCGUAGAUAUCGGGAGGAACACCAGUGGCGAAGGCGGCGACCUGGGCCAAUACUGACGCUGAGGUGCGAAAGCGUGGGGAGCAAACAGG
rnacentral:rRNA from 1 species